GAUGAAGAAACGCAGCGAAAUGCGAUAAGUAAUGUGAAUUGCAGAAUUCAGUGAAUCAUCGAAUCUUUGAACGCAUAUUGCGCCCCUUGGUUAUUCCGGGGGGCACACCUGUUCGAGCGUCAUUACAACACUCAAGCACCGCUUGGUAUUGGGCGCCGCCUUCUACGGGCGCCGCCUUAAACUCCUCGGCGUCGCCGUCCGUCUUUAAGCGCAGCGAGAUUUUUCCAGCGCCUUUAAAGCCGGGCCUCGUCCGCCGGAUAACGUCUUAUCUCUUCAAGGUUGACCUCGGAUCAGGUGGGGAUACCCGCUGAACUUAAGCAUAUCAAUAAGCGGAGGA
rnacentral:misc_RNA from 1 species